rnacentral:rRNA from 1 species
GAUUAACGCUAGCGGCAGGCCUAAUACAUGCAAGUCGAGGGGCAGCGGGAGUAGCUAUACUUGCCGGCGACCGGCGCACGGGUGCGUAACGCGUAUGCAACCUACCCAUAUCAGGGGGAUAGCCCGAAGAAAUUCGGAUUAACACCGCAUAAUAAUACGCUAACACAUGUUAAUGUAUUUAAAUAUUUAUAGGAUAUGGAUGGGCUCGCGUGACAUUAGCUAGUUGGUAAGGUAACGGCUUACCAAGGCGACGAUGUCUAGGGGCUCUGAGAGUAGAAUCCCCCACACUGGUACUGAGACACGGACCAGACUCCUACGGGAGGCAGCAGUAAGGAAUAUUGGUCAAUGGGCGCAAGCCUGAACCAGCCAUGCCGCGUGUAGGAUGACUGCCCUAUGGGUUGUAAACUGCUUUUGUACGGGAAUAACCCUUUCUAUGUAUAGGAAGCUGAAUGUACCGUAAGAAUAAGGAUCGGCUAACUCCGUGCCAGCAGCCGCCGUAAAAC